AGAGUUUGAUCCUGGCUCAGAAUCAACGCUGGCGGCGUGCCUAACACAUGCAAGUCGAACGAGAAAGUGGAGCAAUCCAUGAGUACAGUGGCGUACGGGUGAGUAACACGUGACUAACCUACCUCCGAGUGGGGAAUAACCCCGGGAAACCGGGGCUAACACCGCAUAAUACCGCAAGGUCAAAUGCGCAAGCAGCUUGG
rnacentral:rRNA from 1 species